AGCAGUAGCCGCGGUAAAACGUAGGGUGCAAGCGUUAAUCGGAAUUACUGGGCGUAAAGCGUGCGCAGGCGGUUAUAUAAGACAGAUGUGAAAUCCCCGGGCUCAACCUGGGAACUGCAUUUGUGACUGUAUAGCUAGAGUACGGCAGAGGGGGAUGGAAUUCCGCGUGUAGCAGUGAAAUGCGUAGAUAUGCGGAGGAACACCGAUGGCGAAGGCAAUCCCCUGGGCCUGUACUGACGCUCAUGCACGAAAGCGUGGGGAGCAAACAGGAUUAGAUACCCGUGUAGUCCCUGUCUCUUAUAC
rnacentral:rRNA from 1 species